UACGAAGGGGGCUAGCGUUGUUCGGAUUUACUGGGCGUAAAGCGCACGUAGGCGGAUCUUUAAGUCAGAGGUGAAAUCCCAAGGCUCAACCUUGGAACUGCCUUUGAUACUGGGGAUCUUGAGUCCGGGAGAGGUGAGUGGAACUGCGAGUGUAGAGGUGAAAAUUCGUAGAUAUUUCGCAAAGAACACCAGUGGCGAAGGCGGCUCACUGGCCCGGUACUGACGCUGAGGUGCGAAAAGCGUGGGGAGCCAAACAGGG
rnacentral:rRNA from 1 species